rnacentral:tRNA from 1 species
GGGGAUGUAGCUCAGUGGGAGAGAGUUUGUCUGGCAUGUACAAAAGCUCUUGGUUCUAUCCCCAGCAUUGCAA